UACGUAGGUGGCAAGCGUUGUCCGGAUUUACUGGGCGUAAAGAGCGCGCAGGCGGUCGUUCAAGUCGAGUGUGAAAGCCCCCGGCUCAACUGGGGAGGGUCACUCGAUACUGAUCGACUCGAAGGCAGAAGAGGGAAGCGGAAUUCCCGGUGUAGUGGUGAAACGUGUAGAGAUCGGGAGGAACACCGGUGGCGAAGGCGGGUCUCUGGGCAAUUCCUGACGCUGAGGCGCAAAAGCGUGGGGAGCAAACGGG
rnacentral:rRNA from 1 species